UAAGGACUUGUCUUCCUCAAUGGGCCAAAAUCCCUUGAAGAUCUCUGGAGGGGGGCUGUCCAUGGACUCCAUGUCAAGAACCCCUGACUUAGAAUUAGAAUGCUCGCUCUUCUCCCAUAAGCCCUCACAGCUCAUUCCUUCACCUCCUUUUAUGCAGAAGCCACCUUCUCAGGCAGCUCUUCUCUGAGGACGCUAUUUAAAUUGCAUGACCACAUUCCCUAUCCCCCUUUCCUACUUAAUUUUUUCGGAAUAGCAUUUACUAACC